rnacentral:tRNA from 1 species
GCCUGGCUAGCUCAGGCAGAGGAGCCUGAGACUCUUGAUCUUGGGGGUGUGAGUUCGAGCCCCACGCUGGGUG